GAGUUCAGCGGUAGAGCAUCUGCUUUGCAUGCAGAAGGUCUCAGCUUCAGUCCCUGGCAUCUCCCA